rnacentral:rRNA from 1 species
UACGUAGGGGGCAAGCGUUGUCCGGAAUUAUUGGGCGUAAAGCGCGCGCAGGCGGUUCUUUAAGUCUGAUGUGAAAGCCCACGGCUCAACCGUGGAGGGUCAUUGGAAACUGGGGGACUUGAGUGCAGGAGAGGGAAGCGGAAUUCCUGGUGUAGCGGUGAAAUGCGUAGAGAUCAGGAGGAACACCAGUGGCGAAGGCGGCUUUCUGGCCUGUAACUGACGCUGAGGCGCGAAGGCGUGGGGAGCAAACAGGAUUAGAUACCCCAGUAGUCC